rnacentral:rRNA from 1 species
CNUACGGGAGGCAGCAGUGGGGAAUAUUGCACAAUGGAGGGAACUCUGAUGCAGCGACGCCGCGUGAACGAAGAAGGCUUUCGAGUCGUAAAGUUCUUUUAUAUGGGAAGAUAAUGACGGUACCAUAAGAAAAAGCCCCGGCUAACUACGUGCCAGCAGCCGCGGUAAU